GGUCUUGUAACGUUCAUCUUGUUAAUCAAAAAAUGAGAAGGAGAUUUUGUUACUUCGUCCGCACCUUGCAUCGAAUUGCUGCCUGCCGAAUUUCUUUCCUUUACCAUUGUUAUUGUUGUAUUCCCUUCUCUCUCUUUCUCUCUUUUAUUUUUUUUCGGUGUCGUCUGGAGGUUACUGGUUGUUGCCACGUCAGCUCGCCUUUCCAGUUAUCCUUCUUCUUCAACCUUGAUGGCUCUAUAAUGCAUAUUUAAUGAAUAAUAUGAGAAGAAAAUUUUCUGCUAUCUCUUUUACUCAUGUGUUGAAUUGUCGCUUGUCGAGCUUCUUUCGGCCUUCGCAUCGUUCAGGGUUAUCUGAUUGCCAUUGCAUCGACCCAUCCUUUCGUCCAUGGCCGCAGAUUUGCCUGGGCUACUCGGGUUUGGCGCCCCCCAUG
rnacentral:lncRNA from 1 species